UACGAAGGGGGCUAGCGUUGCUCGGAAUCACUGGGCGUAAAGCGCACGUAGGCGGAUUGCUAAGUCAGGGGUGAAAUCCUGGAGCUCAACUCCAGAACUGCCUUUGAUACUGGCGACCUUGAGUCCGGGAGAGGUGAGUGGAACUGCGAGUGUAGAGGUGAAAUUCGUAGAUAUUCGCAAGAACACCAGUGGCGAAGGCGGCUCACUGGCCCGUACUGACGCUGAGGUGCGAAAGCGUGGGGAGCAACAGG
rnacentral:rRNA from 1 species